GACAACAUUUAUUCCAAGUACAACUUGCUAUUAAAACUAUGGUUUUCAGAGUCCUAUAUAUAAUUAAAGAGAUGAAAACUUGCACUCUUGUCCCACGCAGACUAGUGUUUCGGUUCAUAUGAUUCAUGGCUGCAAGCAAGGAAUUUGCACCGAAAGUUCCCCACAAGCCUGAGGCGGUUUUAUUUUCCUGGCAAAUCUUUAGCGUUUUCUUGCUUCUAUUUGUUUCUUUUCGUUUUUGAUGAAUCUUACUUUGCUUUGCUCCCAACUCUUUUUUGCUAUGUCAAUACCUAUUGAAAGAUGGAGAGAAAAAGGAUCAGGAAGAAGUACAAUGAUUCGGAUCAGUGCAAGCAAAGAACUGAAAGCAUAAUGAACCUCACGGAGCUUGAACCAAUAUCCUGGAGACCUUAAACUGUAAAUAUGACUUUACCAGGAAGAUGGUCAUUGUAUUCAGCUUGAAGCAAAGGUUUCGGUCCAGUGAUUUGGGUCAUAUUCAGUUUAAGGUCUCCGAGAUACGCGUUUGCGUUCCAUGUGGUUCAUUUCUGCUGUCAGCUCUGCUUGCACUGCUCUCCAACCUUUUACUUCUUCCUUAUCCUUUUUCUUCUUAUCAUUAAUGGUAUUGAUACUGGAACAAGAACUGAAGGAAGAUUCAUUAGAAACGAAAUUAAGCAAGAAAAUCCUGUCCAGGUUUUCUCUAAGGAUUUGCCAGAAACUGCCUCCCUUUUGAAUUAAAGUUUCUGUCUUUGGAACUUUCGGUUCACUUUCCUUUCAUGCAAACAUGAACGAAUCUUUCUCUCGUGUGCUGCAAAUUCCAAAGAGAAACAUUUUACUACUCAUGAAGAUUAGUACUACGAGUUCAUAGUCCGUUCCUCUCUGGAAUCCAGUUAUGGCGUUGUAAUUGAUGAACAUUAAUUCCAAGUAUACAUCAUACUACUCGGCAUGAACUGGAAAUGUCUAUUGAACAAGGGGACAAGGGGAGAGCAAUGUCUAUUGAUAUAUGGAAAUUUCGCCUUUGGGAUUGAUCUGAUUUGUGGGAAGUUUUGGUAAAUGGAUGGGAAAGGGUUCCUCUGUUUCUGCACAAAGCAGGGCAAUUGCCUCGGUUGUACUCUUCUCAUUUGCUUUGAUUAAUAAUAUUUCCUAUUCUUGGGUUGCGCUGUGCCGUUGGUUUA